rnacentral:rRNA from 1 species
UACAGAGGGUGCGAGCGUUAAUCGGAAUUACUGGGCGUAAAGCGUGCGUAGACGGUAGCGUAAGUCAGAUGUGAAAUCCCCGGGCUUAACCUGGGAAUUGCAUUCAAGACUGUCUUGCUAGAGUGUGGAAGAGGGAAGCGGAAUUCCAGGUGUAGCGGUGAAAUGCGUAGAUAUCUGGAGGAACAUCAGUGGCGAAGGCGGCUUCCUGGUCCAACACUGACACUGAGGUGCGAAAGCGUGGGGAGCAAACAGG